UUAAAGUUGGAGAGAGUAGGAGAUUAGUUGCAAGUAGAGGAUCAUACAUACUAUAGAUGACAGAAAACCCUAACCCACGUUUUCCCCUUUUCAUUCAGAAACGCUGAUCUCAGUUGGUCCCUCUCGAUCUCGUAUCUUCUCAAUUACAGAGUAAAGAGAAUGGGUGACAAGAAGAAGAAGGCUCAGAUGUUUGUGAAACUAGUGUCUGCUGCUGGGACUGGAUUCUUCUAUGUUAAGAGGAAACCAAGACAGUUCACAGAGAAGCUUGAGUUUCGAAAAUAUGAUCCUAGGGUUAAUCGACAUGUGCUGUUUACAGAAGCUAAAAUGAAGUGAUGAUAGGGCACUUUUCAAGGAUGCCUUGUAACGGACCAAUCUUGUACUGUUUUUUGAGAUGAUUGUCACAGUAGGUUGAAUAAUUAGGCCCAUCCUUUUACUGUCUCUGCCUCUAUUCUUUUCUUGAUCAGAUUGAGUUUGCGGAUUUUUUUUUUCCUGUUCUGAAAGCCAAUUAAGCAGUCCAUUAGUAGCAUCCUACAAUAAGUGGAAGCAAAUUAUGUGCUGUUUUUUUAUUACAGAUCUUGUGACCAUUAGGCUUAGCACAGCUAGUUUUUCAUUCCAUAACAUUCCAUUCCA